UACGGGGGGGGUAAGCGUUGUUCGGAAUUACUGGGCGUAAAGGGCUCGUAGGCGGCCAACUAAGUCAUACGUGAAAUCCCUCAGCUUAACUGGGGAAUUGCGUGUGAUACUGGAUGGCUUGGAUUUGGGAGAGGGAUGCGGAAUUCCAGGUGUAGCGGUGAAAUGCGUAGAUAUCUGGAGGAACACCGAUGGCGAAGGCAAUCCCCUGGACCUGUACUGACGCUCAUGCACGAAAGCGUGGGGAGCAAACAGG
rnacentral:rRNA from 1 species